UUGUCCCGUCGAGCCGCCGCCCCCUACCGCAUCUACCUCGGGAUCACCUUCUCCUCAUUUUUCCUCCACCCACCAACCAGCUCUCUCCACUGCUACUCAUCGAUCCAAAUUUCCCUCGGCCUCCAGCCUGCAGACCUUCUGCUCGAUCCGGAUGGGAUCGAGGUUGUGCCCCUCGUCCCCGCGCCCCUGUUUCGCUCGAUCCGGAUCGGGGGCAGCCCGAUCCCGAGCACCUCUCGCCGCUCGACCAUCUUCUCCCCGUCGUCGCCUCCAGCGACCAGGCAUCUGGAUCCGCCGCCGCCUACCCCAGGAGUCAAGCCCGAGCCUCCCGUCGCCAAAAGCCACCGUGGCCAGCCGUCGAAGCCAGACUAGACCAUGCCGCAGCUCCUUUGCCACCUUCUUCUCUCUCUUUCUCCUUCUCUGUCGCUUCUCUCUCCCUCCGUCCCGCGUCUCACCUUGCCUGUCUCUCUCUCUUUUGGUUUCACAGGAACACCGGUGCCGCUGAACGAGCACCAUUGGGACGCCGCCAUGGCCUCCCCUACUCACCCCGCCGUCCAGAUCAGGCCGGGAACCGCCGCCCGCCGCCCUCUCGUCCGGUUCCAGUCGCCUGACCCUGCCGUCGUCAGAGCUUCGAAGCGUGACGCCAUGGACCUCCCCGUCGCGCCUCCACGCCAUGGUCACCCCUCUCCUCCUCACGGGUCCUGGACCCCUGCGCCCCGUCACCGGCGUCCAGCGCCGUCAUGGAUUCGCGCCAAGGGAACCUCGCUGCGCCCCUCCGUCGUUUCUUCCUCGCCGCCGCACUUCUGUUCCAGCGCCGCUCCUCUGUUUCCGUUCGAGCAGAGACGAGCGCUCGCCCGCCUUCGUUGACCACGCGAGGACUCAGCCCGCGGUAGGCCCAGCCUGUUUCCCCUCUAGAGCCGGCCUGCCUUGGCCUCUCCCCCCGAUCUGGGCUUGGCCCAUGGGUGAGGCCACCCCAAGCGCCCUCUUCUUUUUUUCGUACUGCUGGGCCAGUUCAGUUUCGGCCCAGUGGAUGUUUUUUUUGGUUCUGUGAAUUUAGCUAUUUUCCAGGGAUUUGCAGAUUUACAGAAAACCCCCUAGCCUUCAUGCAUUUAAUAUCUCACAAACUAAGCAUCACAUGUAAAAACUUUGUAUAUGAAACUUGCUUAGUUUU